CAAAAGCUUAUUCCCUUCACAUAAACAGGGGUGAAGAGGACCAGAAAGCAGGUGGAGGAAGAGGAGGAGGAGAAGAAGGAGGAAAAAGAGGAGAAGAAAAGAUAUAGGAUAUUUACUGUUUUCAAGAAAACUAAAAUGGCAGUGCCAACUUCUUCCCAAAAACCUCCAGGAGAAGACAUCUAAGGUCACUUCUUAAUCUCCAGGGUUCCAAGAAAGCAACAGAAGCUCCCACCCUCCUCCAUUCCAUCAAAAGCAAAGAGCAUUGGCAAGAGACCCGAUUCUCAAUAAAGCAUGUUGACUGAGGAAGUUAACACUUCAAGAAAAGCAUUCGGUCUCUCACAGCUCUUACAAAAUAAAAGAAAAUUGGUGUGGAUCCCAAC